GAUGAAAAUCCAUAGAGUUGGCUGAAGUACAAAGCACAGAUUAGUGUCAGAACCUUUGAACGAAUUAAUUAACACACUGAUUUUGCUGUGAGGCAAAGCUACAAUUUUCCACCAGAGUCUGCAGCCCUGUUUCUAAUGUUGGGAGGGGAUGAGGCUUUGGAACAGCUGCUCCUGAGUCCAGGGAUAUUUGCCGUCUCCAAAUCUCAAGGAACAGCUCUGACAAAACUAUUGCCAUGGCGUGGGCAAGGAGAAUCCCAGGAUCACUGAGGCUGGAGAAGUUCUCCCAGCCCAUGGAGUCCCAGCUGUGCCCAAUGCCCACCGUGUCCCCAGCCCGGAGCGCUGAGUGCCACCUCCAGGAAUUCCUUGGACACCUCCAGGGAUGGGGAUUCCAAACCUCCCUGUUCCAAAUAUGUAUGAGGUAAAGGGAAUACUAAUGGUUAAUAUUCCUUUUUUCUUCUAAGUUGCUUUGUUGUGCAAAUUUAUGUCUGACUCUGAUUUCUGAUAGAAUAUUCACAAAACCAUAGAAUCAUUGAGGGUGCCAAAGACCUCCAAGAUCAUCAAAUCCAGCUUUUAACUUUGUUGUGACAAUGUGAACUUGACUUUCUGGGGGACGAAUGUUUCAAAAGCAUUAACUGUGCCCUAGGUGGAGCCUGGCAGCUCUGCCCCAGGUUAACCCCCCAGGCCAGAUUUAUCCACAGCACAUAAAUGAGCACAUGCUCAGCAAUUUUGAGCUAAAGACAGAAUGCUGUAAAACUACUGGGGCACAAAAAGAUUCUGGUUUGCAUUUCAAUCACAAAGAUUUAAAGAAAAAAAAUAUUUUAUUGUGCUUAAUGUGUUUAAAUAUUGAGUUCAAUCAGUCCUGCUUAUCCAACAGGAGUCUCUCAGGGUAUGAUGGAUAAAUGUCCUGACAUCCCAGGUGCUAUAUUUAACCUUCUGACAUGCCCAAUGGCUUUAACAAGCAUUGUAUCAUUGCAAAAGGACAUUUAAAUACAUAUUUGUGCCACUGUCUCUAUUUUUAACACACCA